rnacentral:rRNA from 1 species
CGAACGCUGGCUGCGUGCUUAACACAUGCAAGUCGAACGGAAAGGCCCUGCUUUUGUGGGGUGCUCGAGUGGCGAACGGGUGAGUAACACGUGAGUAACCUGCCCUUGACUUUGGGAUAACUUCAGGAAACUGGGGCUAAUACCGGAUAGGAGCUCCUGCUGCAUGGUGGGGGUUGGAAAGUUUCGGCGGUUGGGGAUGGACUCGCGGCUUAUCAGCUUGUUGGUGGGGUAGUGGCUUACCAAGGCUUUGACGGGUAGCCGGCCUGAGAGGGUGACCGGCCACAUUGGGACUGAGAUACGGCCCAGACUCCUACGGGAGGCAGCAGUGGGGAAUAUUGCACAAUGGGCGGAAGCCUGAUGCAGCAACGCCGCGUGCGGGAUGACGGCCUUCGGGUUGUAAACCGCUUUCGCCUGUGACGAAGCGUGAGUGACGGUAAUGGGUAAAGAAGCACCGGCUAACUACGUG